AAAUGGCCUAACAGUGGAAAAGAAAUUAAUUCUAUAUACAUGGAACCUUUUUCAAGUUGGAGAUGGAGCUGACAGAACUCCAAGGCUCUCCACUCUGAAGCAAGGAUUGUGAUCCCUAUUGCUCCUCGAGGUGGAACUGAUGAAAAGGGAACCUUUCUGAAUCUGGACCACUCUCCUGAUCCCACAGGAUUACAGGAUAUACAG